rnacentral:rRNA from 1 species
AUGAACGCUAGCGGCAGGCUUAAUACAUGCAAGUCGUGGGGCAGCAGGGGUAGCAAUACCCGCUGGCGACCGGCAAACGGGUGCGGAACACGUACGCAACCUUCCUUUAACUGGAGAAUAGCCCCUCGAAAGAGGGAUUAAUACUCCGUAACAUAUUGAUAAGGCAUCUUAUUAAUAUUAUAGCUCCGGCGGUUAAAGAUGGGCGUGCGCCUGAUUAGAUAGUUGGCAGGGAACGGCCUACCAAGUCUGCGAUCAGUAACUGGUGUGAGAGCACGACCAGUCACACGGGCACUGAGACACGGGCCCGACUCCUACGGGAGGCAGCAGUAAGGAAUAUUGGUCAAUGGACGCAAGUCUGAACCAGCCAUGCCGCGUGGAGGAUUAAGGCCCUCUGGGUUGUAAACUCCUUUUAUCUGGGAAGAAAUCCAUUCUUUUCUUAGGUGGUUGACGGUACCAGAGGAAUAAGCA